rnacentral:rRNA from 1 species
UACGUAGGCAGCGAGCGUUGUUCGGAGUUACUGGGCGUAAAGAGUGCGUAGGCGGUUUUCUAAGUUUGGUGUGAAAUCUCCCGGCUCAACUGGGAGGGUGCGCCGAAGACUGGAAGGCUUGAGUAUGGGAGAGGUAAGCGGAAUUCCUGGUGCAGCGGUGAAAUGCGUAGAUAUCAGGAGGAACACCUGCGGUGUAGACGGCUUACUGGACCAUAACUGACGCUGAGGCACGAAAGCGUGGGUAGCAAACAGG